CGGGCCUCUUACGUUCCCCUGGAUAACAAGUAGGCAGGGACUGAAUGUCUCCCAAGCUCGACUCUCGGGGCAGCGUUUCAGGGUGAGUCAUUCCGCCAACCGCGAGGCGGCUGGGUGACUCAGACAAAGGGAACCCGGGGUCCCGUCUCUCCAAGUUGGCCCAGUUUGCUUGUGAGCACUGGCCCAUCCGCCAGUCUCAGAGCCAAUGGACCAGAAAGCUGUUUGGACAUGGAUUGUUCUUUCUUUGGCUUCUAAUGGGAAACUUCCUUUCCCAGAGGGGAAUCUCUCCGGCAACUUCUGCUGAGUUCUCAUUGCUGAGUUGCCUGAGCCAGAGGAGCAAGUGCAACUUGAAAACAGGCAAGGCCAGCCAGGCUUCUCAGCAUCCCUCGAACAGCUCAGAUUGACUUUAGCGGCUGGAGGAAGUUUGCAUUUUUCCAAACCAGCUCCUCCAUCACCAUAACAGCCAGGGUGUCUGGGAAAACUGCCUGUCUUUCUUGCAGGGACCAUUAUGUUAAGAGAUAGGUUAGGAAUAAUAGGAAAGGGUCAGAAUUGUUCUUGCUCUGAGCCAGGAAAAGAAAGAAUUAGAGGUGAGGGAUUACAAUCUUAGGGGGGACCUGGGCAGCCAGGCGGCAGUGCAACCACAGCCCUGUGAGCAUCCCAGAAGGAGCGAUUUGAUGCAGAGACCCACGGAGGUGCCUGAUGGACUUCUCAGCAGAAGCAACCUGCAACAUUCUUUUCCUACAUACGUUAUAUUGGGUAGCUGCUGCCUUUGCAAGAAACCUAAAUUCUGGUGCUGACAGUCUCUGGCCCCAGCCCGCUGUUUUCAUGUCAAGUGAUCAUUUGAAUCUGGGGCUCUGGGACCAGAGUCUUUCAUUUCAUUUCAGGAGAUGAGCCCCAGAAGCCCUCACCAUGUGCCACAAACCCCCCUAGGAAGACAAAGGUGAAGCAGACAGUCGUGGCAUUGUCCCUUCCCCCCAACAGUCACAGAUGCACUGCACGUAGAGCUUUCUCAAAGUGUGUUUGUUUCACGGACACCCGGUAAC
rnacentral:lncRNA from 1 species